rnacentral:rRNA from 1 species
GAUGAACGCUGGCGGCGUGCCUAAUACAUGCAAGUCGAGCGAACAGACGAGGAGCUUGCUCCUCUGACGUUAGCGGCGGACGGGUGAGUAACACGUGGAUAACCUACCUAUAAGACUGGGAUAACUUUGGGAAACCGGAGCCAAUACCGGAUAAUAUAUUGAACCGCAUGGUUCAAUAGUGAAAGACGGUUUUGCUGUCACUUAUAGAUGGAUCCGCGCCGCAUUAGCUAGUUGGUAAGGUAACGGCUUACCAAGGCGACGAUGCGUAGCCGACCUGAGAGGGUGAUCGGCCACACUGGAACUGAGACACGGUCCAGACUCCUACGGGAGGCAGCAGUAGGGAAUCUUCCGCAAUGGGCGAAAGCCUGACGGAGCAACGCCGCGUGAGUGAUGAAGGUCUUCGGAUCGUAAAACUCUGUUAUUAGGGAAGAACAAAUGUGUAAGUAACUAUGCACGUCUUGACGGUACCUAAUCAGAAAGCCACGGCUAACUACGUG